GAAUAUACAACUAUGUACCGGGGGGUUUGGGGGAGAUAAAAGGAAAAAAAAAUAAAAUAAAAUCUUUAAAAAACAAAAAAAUCUUGUGUUUCCAGUAGACGUGUGCCACUGGAUAUCUCUCCAGUUGAGAAGGGGUUGGCAAACUAUAGCCUGUGGGCCAAGUCUGCCCUGCCAUCUGUUCUUAUACAGCCUGCAAGCUAAGAAUGGUUUUUACAUUUUUUAAUGGUUGGAAAAAUCAAAAGAAUAAUAUUUCAUGACACGUGAACAUCAUGUGAAAUUCAAAUUUCAUUGUGCAUAAAUUAAGCGUUCUUGGAACCUAGCCAGGUUCCUUUGAAUUGCCUGUGGCUGCUUUCAUGCUACAGCAGCAGAGAUGAGCGGUCACGAGUAGUUCUGACAGAGACCUUAUGGCCCAGAAAUCCUAAAACAGUUCCUGUCUGGGCCUUUCUAGAAGAAGCUUGUCAAUCCCAGCUCUAGAGUGCAACUGAAGUGAUGCUACCUGAGUCCCCAGGCUGGAUUGUCAAAGGCGAUGCAGCUCCGCCCUGGUGACAGGAGUACUCAACUCUGAAGGCUUCGGCCACCACAUAAGCAGCCCGAGGGCCCUGGAGUCAUCGUGGUUAAGAAUCCGCAAACCUGCUGACAUGGAGAGUCCCUGAAACUACCUGAGAGUGAGCCACCCCAGGCCCCAGUCCCCCAAACCUCCACUGCUAGUGCAUUAUAAACCCGAAGCCAGAACAGCCCAGAUGAGUCCCACCUGAAUUCUAGAGCACAGAAACCACGAGCAAUCAUGGAAUGAUUGUUGUUGCUUUAAGCUGCCACAUUCUGGGGUGACUUGUUACGCAGCAGUAAGUAACUGGAGCAUUGCUGUUCCUUUUCACUACUCCAACAGCCGCUUCCUCACCCCCUCUCAUUCCAUUUGUGCUGCACUGUGUUGUCGUUUCCAAUCAUCGAUUUCCUCCUCUGAAAGAGCAUUUUAUAUCAGCAUCCUUGUUAUGAUUCCUCAUUCCUUUGUUUGGCUUGGCCACGCGGCUUGCCUGGGCCCAUGGAGAGGUGUCCCUGAAGAGGCUCUGGGCGGUGAGCACUUGCCGGAGGCUGAGAUGCUCUUCCGAGAGAAACACUUCCGCAGGAAUGAGAUGGAAACACUUUGGAGUCUAUUCAUCGUGGCUGGGCAUCCUGUGGAUUUCACUGGAAUGAAUCACUAAGUUGGGCUUCCAGAAUGCUACCCUGAGAACAGUGGGCAGAGCUCUUUGAAUUGAAAACAAGGGUCUGGAAUACAUCUGGUGCUCCCCUGCCAGGCGGAGGGCUGUCUGGAGGAAGUUGAAUCUGCAGCACGGUGGGCUUUUUUCCCCACAGCUGCUAGGGGACUUUUCUGGGAAAUGAGGGAACAUAUUUGUCCAGACUUCAAACUUGUCACUUUUCAUAGGUUAGGUUAGGCCUGAGGUUGCCUGUUUUCAGAUUUUAGGCUUAGUUUUUAUUGACAAAAUCUGCCGUCCAGCUUCAGAAAUUGGGAUGGUGGUGGGAAAGGAUGUGCUUUUAGUGGCUUAUGUUUAAAAGCGAAAGGAAGAGAAAGUACAUCAGGCUUCUUAGACAUCAACUGCCUCUUAUAAAACCGCAUUUUGAUGGGUUAAGUGUAAAUGAUCCCAAACAUGUGGAUUAAAUUUUCCAAGAAGCACACAUGGAUUUACAAAUCACAAGGCAGGAGAUCUUGGCAAUGGUAGUUUUCGGCCCUCCCAGACUCCCAAUGCUUUGCCGUUCUUCGUGCCUGGUGGGUUUCUAUAACCACGCUUGGUUUUUUGUGAUGGUGACUCAUGGGAUGGUUGACUGAAUCGUUGUCUGAGAAAUGAGGCAUUGCCAGUGGCAAAUUGAGCAAUUGGGAGUGAAAACUCUACUUGAUCUCUAAUCCUUCAGGUUGGCUCUCCCUAUCACCAGAAUCACCAGUGACCCAGCCAUUCUUAUCCUCUUAAUCACUUGGCACGUCCACAUAAUGAGCACCAGGAAGUUCGCCACUAUUUCCACCUCCCCACUCAAAGGACGGCACGCGGAUGGGAGCACACUCACCCACCUCCUGCUUCACUCAGGUGAAAGGGCAGAGGAGGCAGCACAGCUUAGAAAAAGAAUGUCGACGUUGGAGUGAAACAUGGGUUCAAAUCUCAGUGCCAUCACUUACAAGGUCUCCUUCCUUCAACCCUGCAGCCUCAUUUUUACCACAAUAUUGUGAGGAUAAAAGGAGGUAACGUAUGUGAAGUGCCUGAAAGAGUGCUGGGUACAUAGGAGGUAUCUAAUAAAUGGAGAAUCGGUGGUAGGCA
rnacentral:lncRNA from 1 species